GACGAACGCUGGCGGCGUGCUUAACACAUGCAAGUCGAGCGGUAAGGCCCUUUCGGGGUACGACAGCGGCGAACGGGUAGAGUAACAACGUGGGUGGACCUCGCCCUUACGUCUCUGGGAGUAAAGCCUCGGGAAACGUAGGGUCGUAAUAACCGGAGUAUGACUCCAUGACGCAUGUUGGUUGGGGUGGGAAAGACCUUGUUGCGGCUAGGGAGUGGGCCCGGCCGGCCUAUCAGCUUGUUGGUGGGGUGAUGGCCUACCAAGGCGACGACGGGUAGCCGCCUGAGAGGGCGACCGGCCACACUGGGACUGAGACACGGCCCAGACUCCUACGGGAGGCAGCAGUGGGGAAUCUUGCGCAAUGGGCGAAAGCCUGACGCAGCGACGCCGCGUGAGGGAUGACGGCCUGGUUGUAACU
rnacentral:rRNA from 1 species